rnacentral:misc_RNA from 1 species
GCAGGGUCAAAAGUAGGCUCAUCAUCAUCAUUUUCGCUGGCGUGGCUAUUAUUAGACCGAUAAUUAGGAGGGAAAACCCGAAACAAAUUAACAGCACAUGUUUUACACAAUGCAAGAAUUGCAGGUUCUGAAAAUUUGGGUGGAUUAGCAGAUACAAAAUCCAAAAGCUCAAAUAAUGUAGCCCUUUUUAGUUCCUUUUCUGCUACAUUCUUAGUUGGGUCCCUGAAAUCAAAGUCUACACAGCAGAGACUUAACUUACUGAUAAAAAGAUUCAUCUUUUCAGAGCUGGGAACAUCUUUGAAGGAAAUCAAAGGCUCGAUCCCUGCAAUCACACUUGCUGGGAACACAACUGAGGAAGUCCUCCUUGGAACACUAUUAGGCCUUCCAGGGCCUAAAUUUGAGCUUGCAUUCGGACUGUUUGAGUCUGAAUUGCCUCUUCCUGAGUCUACUGACUCAGAUUUCAGUGAUUUCUUCGGAAGCUUACUCAGAAAAUGCUUCCACAUGGUGCUUUUCACAAACUUUUAACACAAAAACAGACUCAAAACAGAUAAAAGAGGGUGAAAAAACACUCAAAUCAAGAUAUUACUGGUAAAGGGCAACAACCCUAGAGCUGUAAUACACAACCAAGAUCUAAACCAAAACCCCAUUGGCUAAAAAAUCUGCAAACUUUAAGCUAAACCACAAAAUGGGGGUGCCAUUAUCUUCAGCAAGAAGAAAGAAAAAUCAAAUCUUUCCUCAAACUAACUUAAAGGGUGGUUCAGAUCUUGAUUUACAAAUAGGGAAAAGAUUGAAAAAAAAUGCAAGAAUCAUGCAAAGCUGAAGCCUUUUUUGCUCAAUUUACAACCUUGGAUUCUUUAAAUAAAAAGAGAGAGAGCCCAGAUCUCAUACACAUUCAUUAUAACUAUUUA